rnacentral:rRNA from 1 species
CCCUUAGAUGUUCUGGGCCGCACGCGCGUUACACUGACGAAUGCAACGAGCUUAUAACCUUGGCCGAAAGGUCUGGGUAAUCUCCAAAUUUCGUCGUGAUGGGGAUAGAUUAUUGCAAUUAUUAAUCUUCAACGAGGAAUGCCUAGUAAGCGCAAGUCAUCAGCUUGCGUUGAUUACGUCCCUGCCCUUUGUACACACCGCCCGUCGCUCCUACCGAUUGAAUGGUCCGGUGAAGCGUUCGGACCGUGGCCUUUGGACGGUUCGCCGUCUGUUGGCUGCGGGAAGUUCGUUAAACCUUAUCAUUUAGAGGAAGGAGAAGUCGUAACA